rnacentral:rRNA from 1 species
ACUCCGUACGGGAGGCAGCAGGUAGGGAAUCUUCCACAACGGGCGGACAAGCCUGAUGGAGCAACACCGCGUGAGUGAAGAAGGGUUCGGCUCGUAAAGCUCUGUUGUUAAAGAAGAACACGUAUGAGAGUAACUGUUCAUACGUUGACGGUAUUUAACCAGAAAGUCACGGCUAACUACGUGCCAGCAGCCGCGGUAAUACGUAGGUGGCAAGCGUUAUCCGGAUUUAUUGGGCGUAAAGAGAGUGCAGGCGGUUUUCUAAGUCUGAUGUGAAAGCCUUCGGCGUUAACCGGAGAAGUGCAUCGGAAACUGGAUAACUUGAGUGCAGAAGAGGGUAGGUGGAACUCCAUGUGUAGCGGUGGAAUGCGUAGAUAUAUGGAAGAACACCAGUGGCGAAGGCCGGCUACCUAGGUCUGCAACUGACGCUGAGACUCGAAA